GAACAAAAUAACUCUAAUUUUGUAUACAUUUCAAAUCACGGUUAAAGCAAAAUGUAAAAUAAUAAUUUUUUAAAGAACGCGCUCCAGUCGGAAGUCUAAUUCCAAAUGUGACAUGGAAUUUAAACACUUCUUUUCUAUCACUUAAUAAAAAAGUUGAUGCGUAAUAUUUAGCAAAAGCAAAAUAAAAUUCUAAAUUACUUGUAUUCAAACUCGUCCUCUUCAAUUGACCAUCCAUUUUUAUAUGGAUGGGAGGAUGUUUGUUCACUUUUAUAAUCGUUUGUUUCCUUUAUAUAAACAAACAUUGAAGUAUAAAAUUUCAUCGGAGCAAAUAGUUCAAUUGUUUCUCGCAUUUGAGAAGAUAAUUGCGGUACUUAGCUUAACAGUCACCAGAAAUGCGUGAUAAUCUCCGACACGUGUGCACAGUUACAACAACGCACUCAGUGGCUGGCAGCCCAAACAAACAAACGCGCUGUGUUAAACAUGCAAACACAUACAUACAUUCGUGCACAUACGCGCAGGAGCUAUUGGCUUCUGCUCAAUCCGGGGAUUUAAAAUAAUCCACUACAAAGAGAGGGGAAUGUGUGAACGCUGCGACAAGCGAACAUCGAAAUGUGCAACAAAUUGAAAGAAAGGAUUAAAGUGACCACUCGCAGUCUCUACAACUCUUUUCACAUUCACACAUGUCCCUUUGUCAGUCAUUCAUGCAUUCUUCUGAGAGCAAGAUCCACGCAAUAAAACAAUUACCGGAUAUCGAAUGGUCAGAGAGUCGCGUUGGUGGCGUGUGCGCGGGUGUGUGAUGGUGUGAAGACGUGUCCAUGCCAGGUGUGGGCAAGCCAGAGUACAGUGAGCUGAAAUCUUCGGGUGUACUACUGCAUUUGCGUUGGUGAUUAAGCGAGCCCUUGUCGAUGGAUGUGAUUGGCGAACGGGUAUCUUGCAUCGAUGAUGUUAGACCGAGUAGGCGGUUCUCAUGCGAGGAAGUAAUGCCCAUUAGGCGAUUAUCUUGAAAUGACAUGAAUUUCGUAUCUUGGGAUACCCCAGCAUGCUGCAUAUUCGCCGCAUGAUCAUCUAAUAAGCCUUGUUGCAAGCCCAACAAACCGCCAACCAAAUUCGGACGCAGUUCAUCCAUUGAAAGUUUGCUUUGACCGCAAGUACCAGCAGUGAAAUUGAGUUGCCGACUAAAUAUAGCCGGAAAUAUGUUAAACUGUUGGGAGUCCGCACUCGACUGAGGGCUCAGUCCUAGGCUGGGUGGAACGAUGUGAGGUAUGGAAGAAGCCGUUGAAACAGAUGUGGCCACCGACGAGAUCGGAUGAACGUUAUUACCACCCGAACCGGGUCCGCUGCCAAUUACCAACGACGAUACGGAAUUCGAGCCGACGGCACUACUGCCACUACCAGAGGUGGCGCUGCCGUUACUGGUCGCACAACCGACGGAAGUUGGUGUAUGCAACUGUUGGGUUUGUGCCUGCGCCGAUUGUUGUUGAUGCUGGUGUGAUGACUGUUGUUGGGCGGUCGGUGCUACUGAAACUGAUUGCUGCUGCUGCUGUCCUAUAGGCGGUAAACCGCUAUGUGAUAAGCCGACGGCGUGAGCUUGGGCGGCUGCGUGCGAUACGGCAGCCGUACCGGCGUGAUGUGGAUGCAAAAGAGAAUGAUGCGGUGGUAAAUGGGCAGGCGGAUUACUACUAGACAAAUGAGGCUGAUGUACGUGAUGCACCUGAAGGGAAUUCGAGAUGGUAUUGCCGACGACGCCACCACCGGACACAGGGCCGCCGGCACAACUGUGUUGUUUGAAAUCCAACUUGUGGCCGGUGUAAAAGCGCGAAUCAAUAUACGUCUUGAAAAAAUCAAUUAUACCACUCAGCGAAAAACGGUAUUGAUACGAGAAAGUAGUAUGCCUAUGAGCAAACCUUCACAACAAUACACACAAAGUUGGGAAUAAGUUUAAUCCUUUGAAGUAACAAUAGAGCUUUGGAUUCACUCGCGCAUAAAUAAGUUUGAUCAAAAAGCACAACCACAGGAUAAAAUAUUAGCCACUUGCAGCAUAGCACUGUCGACGACACUUCACGAAUUCGGCGCACUUCACGAAUUUUGCGGCAAAAUCAAUUAAUUAAUUUCAAAAUCAAUUACAAUUAUUAAGGUAUCUGGGUAGAUAUCUAUAAGUGUGUGUACGCAUAUAUUAGAUUUUUUUGCUGCUUUUUAUUUGGUCCGCCGAUUGACCGACGCGUAACCGGCACUGGCGUCUCGAUGUCUAUACUGAGUAGGUAAACGACUGGCGAAUAGUUGAAAUAAUCACUAACCCCAACACAGGGAGGCACAUACACAUGUAGUCACUAUUCCAGCUGCAAACUGUUUUUCUAGCCACAGCACCGCCAGACUACAGUACUCAGAAGACCGAUUAUAGUACUGGCUGGUUUAGUGUGUACCGUUACGAACCGCCUGUCGACGGGUGAACUUUAUCCAUCGUUUCUUUUAUACGCCCGUCAUGCCGAAAGAGAGAGAAAGAGCGAAUGUUGGGCCCGAUAAACUUUUUAAUCGCGUCAAUUUAAUGCCAAAAUCUCACCGUAUAUGUAGAUAUGUCAAUGGCGCCCGACUACUAUUCAACGCGAGUGUUUAACUAACUGUUCACUGUACGUCGUGUUGAUGGCUGAUGCAGACACAACCAAUUUCUAAUGUUUACAAAUAAUGAAAAUUCGAUUUCCUCUUCUUGAGAGGGGGUAAUAACAAUAAUGUAAUUUCGGAUGCGUUUAACUCUAUCGCAAUCUACUGCGCUGUGCCGCACUACAGCCAGAAAAUGUAUGCAAAUGUGUCCUUCGAAUUAUUCACUCUGCUGCUAACUGUUCCAUCCAUAUGAGUUACCGUGCUGUCGCGAAGAGUACGACCUCAAUGUCUCGGUUCGGUGGUACGCGCGUAUUCGCGGCCGAUCAAACUUAAAAUGAUAUACGAUUCCAGGCAGCACACAAAAUUAUAACGAAAUUAAGGAUCAUGUGCUUGCUGUCCGUUUCGAAGGCUUCGCAGUUCUUUCCACGCCAUCCCGUGGUGGUGGGUGGUAGCUCAUCAACGCCGACGUCGGUGUAAAAUCUCGAACUGCUUGAGCUUGUGUUGUUCUUGUUGGUGAUUUCGUUGCCGUCGUUAACAGAACGGCGUUGGUGGUGGUGAUGGUGGCGAUUGGUUUGGCAAGUACCAGCAGUGUAUAUUAUAUAUACUGUAAAUGAAUAUGUGCAUACAUAUACAUUUGAAUAAGCUCAUAUGUUUGGUAGUUUUUGCAAGACCACGAAUCGUUAGCCAUACUAAUAAUAAUGUGAAAAAUAAUGAAACAUCAUUGCUCUGAACGAAUAUGUCAUCGCACACCAACACUAAUAUACAUGCAUACAUACAUGUGUUCAAGUGAAAUGGCUGCGAAAGAGGGAAAGCAAUAGUUUUUGUCGCUGCUCUGUGAGCCUUGCCACUGUGAAUUCUGUCGUGCACUCAUCCCUUCUGUUCACGAGUGCCUCUCGACGACGACUACUCGCGACAGCUCCUCAUUAUGCCGCACAUCAUAGUAUUGUCUCUUUUUAACUGGUUUAACUUCGUUAGAGGUAAGUUUUUGCUAUUUUGUCGGUUUCUCGAAUAGUUUACAAUAAUAACAAUUCUUGGCUGGUUGUUGGCAUCUUCGACCCAAUGAGAAAUUGCUGUUCUGAGGUUGAGUCGCUGUCGCUGCUAAUGAUGUACGUCCACCAUUUUCUGUGUCUGAUUGCUUCCAGAUCAGUUUUCGCAUAGUGUGCGUGAACCAGGAGCCACAGGAAGACGAAUGUUUUAAAAUCGCUACAGAAGACAAGCCUUCGAGUUUAUUGGUGUCCGGAACAUUCGUUGGUAAAAAGGAUAAUCACUAUGCGUCUGACACACUUCCCUUGAGCGUAUGCUGCAAAUAAACAUUUCACUAUCCUGACACCAUAGCGUAUGAAACGUCUGGUAGUUUCGCUGAAGAUUUGUGCACUUUAUUGGCAAGGUGUCGUUGAAUGUCGAUUUGCGCGCCAACUUUGCAAAUUCAAAUUGCCUACACUUACCUUUAUGUGCUUAUACAUACGUACAUACAUACGUACAUACAUAUUUAUCUAUUUACAUCACUGCAGCAAGGCGGAAACGUCCAAUGGAAUGCCAUAAAUAUGCCUUUUUAAAUUUUAAUUAUUAGCAAUCUAUCAUAUGUAUAUGGUUUUGAAAAGGUAUAAAUGAAAUAUCGGCAAUGGUAAAUCCAAAGAAGAGUAUUUGUAAAUACAUGUCUGCAAAUAUGUACAUAUGUAUGUUACACUUUUAAAUUAUGUGAAAUUGUAAUAUCUUAUUUGAUGGUAUUUUCACUUGAAAAACGCUUCGAAAAAAAUUAAAUUUUUUGUUUUAUCUAUUUUAAUACUGAAAUACUUAUUAUUUAUUAUUCUUAUUAAUUUGACAGAUAUCGUUGCCAUGGACUUCGCGGUGAAAACAUAACAAUGUGUGGAAUCAAGGCUGUAUAUUAUAUAAUAAUUUAGUGAAUAUAUGCUAAAUAUAUUAAUGUUUUAGUAAUAACGAUUUUUUAUAUAAAUUAAUUAUGCAUAAAUUCGCAAUGAAACCAAAAAAAUGUAAGCC